AAGCAUAUCAAUAAGCGGAGGAAAAGAAACUAACAAGGAUUCCCCUAGUAACUGCGAGUGAAGCGGGAAAAGCUCAAAUUUAAAAUCUGAUGGUCUUUUUGGCUGUCCGAGUUGUAAUCUAGAGAAGUGCUACCCGCGCUGGACCGUGUACAAGUCUCCUGGAAUGGAGCAUCAUAGAGGGUGAGAAUCCCGUCUUUGACAUGGACUUACCAGGGCUUUGUGGUGCGCUCUCAAAGAGUCGAGUUGUUUGGGAAUGCAGCUCAAAAUGGGUGGUAAAUGCCAUCUAAAGCUAAAUAUUGGCGAGAGACCGAUAGCGAACAAGUACCGUGAGGGAAAGAUGAAAAGAACUUUGGAAAGAGAGUUAAACAGUACGUGAAAUUGCUGAAAGGGAAACGCUUGAAGUCAGUCACAUUGGCUGGAAAUCAACCAUUGCUUUUGCUUGGUGUACUUUCUGACUGAUGGGUCAGCAUCAAUUUCUAUCGUUGGAUAAAGGCUUGGGGAAUGUGGCAUCUUAGGAUGUGUUAUAGCCCUUGGUCGCAUACAGCGGUUGGGAUUGAGGAACUCAGCACGCCGCAAGGCCGGGUUUCGACCACGUUACGUGCUUAGGAUGCUGGCAUAAUGGCUUUAAUCGACCCGUCUUGAAACACGGACCAAGGAGUCUAACAUGCCUGCGAGUGUUUGGAUGGAAAAUCCAUGCGCGCAAUGAAAGUGAAAGGUUGAGAUCCCUGUCGUGGGGAGCAUCGACGCCCGGACCAGACCUUUUGUGACGGAUCCGCGGUAGAGCAUGUAUGUUGGGACCCGAAAGAUGGUGAACUAUGCCUGAAUAGGGUGAAGCCAGAGGAAACUCUGGUGGAGGCUCGUAGCGAUUCUGACGUGCAAAUCGAUCGUCAAAUUUGGGUAUAGGGGCGAAAGACUAAUCGAACCAUCUAGUAGCUGGUUCCUG
rnacentral:rRNA from 1 species